GGGUUGUGAGGUUAAGCGACUAAGCGUACACGGUGGAUGCCCUGGCAGUCAGAGGCGAUGAAGGACGUGCUAAUCUGCGAAAAGCGUCGGUAAGGUGAUAUGAACCGUUAUAGCCGGCGAUGUCCGAAUGGGGAAACCCAGUGCAAUUCGUUGCACUAUCGUUAACUGAAUACAUAGGUUAACGAGGCGAACCGGGGGAACUGAAACAUCUAAGUACCCCGAGGAAAAGAAAUCAACCGAGAUUCCCCCAGUAGCGGCGAGCGAACGGGGAGCAGCCCAGAGUCUGAAUCAGCUUGUGUGUUAGUGGAACGGUCUGGAAAGUCCGACGGUACAGGGUGAUAGUCCCGUACACCAAAAUGCACAGGUUGUGAACUCGAAGAGUAGGGCGGGACACGUGGUAUCCUGUCUGAAUAUGGGGGGACCAUCCUCCAAGGCUAAAUACUCCUGACUGACCGAUAGUGAACCAGUACCGUGAGGGAAAGGCGAAAAGAACCCCGGCGAGGGGAGUGAAAAAGAACCUGAAACCGUGUACGUACAAGCAGUGGGAGCACCUUCGGGUGUGACUGCGUACCUUUUGUAUAAUGGGUCAGCGACUUAUAUUCUGUAGCAAGGUUAACCGUAUAGGGGAGCCGCAGGGAAACCGAGUCUUAACUGGGCGUUAAGUUGCAGGGUAUAGACCCGAAACCCGGUGAUCUAGCCAUGGGCAGGUUGAAGGUUGGGUAACACUAACUGGAGGACCGAACCGACUAAUGUUGAAAAAUUAGCGGAUGACUUGUGGCUGGGGGUGAAAGGCCAAUCAAACCGGGAGAUAGCUGGUUCUCCCCGAAAGCUAUUUAGGUAGCGCCUCGUGAAUUCAUCUUCGGGGGUAGAGCACUGUUUCGGCUAGGGGGUCAUCCCGACUUACCAACCCGAUGCAAACUACGAAUACCGAAGAAUGUUAUCACGGGAGACACACGGCGGGUGCUAACGUCCGUCGUGAAGAGGGAAACAACCCAGACCGCCAGCUAAGGUCCCAAAGUCAUGGUUAAGUGGGAAACGAUGUGGGAAGGCACAGACAGCCAGGAUGUUGGCUUAGAAGCAGCCAUCAUUUAAAGAAAGCGUAAUAGCUCACUGGUCGAGUCGGCCUGCGCGGAAGAUGUAACGGGGCUAAACCAUGCACCGAAGCUGCGGCAGCGACACUAUGUGUUGUUGGGUAGGGGAGCGUUCUGUAAGCCUGCGAAGGUGACCUGUGAGGGUUGCUGGAGGUAUCAGAAGUGCGAAUGCUGACAUAAGUAACGAUAAAGCGGGUGAAAAGCCCGCUCGCCGGAAGACCAAGGGUUCCUGUCCAACGUUAAUCGGGGCAGGGUGAGUCGACCCCUAAGGCGAGGCCGAAAGGCGUAGUCGAUGGGAAACAGGUUAAUAUUCCUGUACUUGGUGUUACUGCGAAGGGGGGACGGAGAAGGCUAUGUUAGCCGGGCGACGGUUGUCCCGGUUUAAGCAUGUAGGCUGAUUGUCCAGGCAAAUCCGGAUAAUCAAGGCUGAGGUGUGAUGACGAGGCACUACGGUGCUGAAGUAACAAAUGCCCUGCUUCCAGGAAAAGCCUCUAAGCAUCAGGUAACAUCAAAUCGUACCCCAAACCGACACAGGUGGUCAGGUAGAGAAUACCAAGGCGCUUGAGAGAACUCGGGUGAAGGAACUAGGCAAAAUGGUGCCGUAACUUCGGGAGAAGGCACGCUGGUGUGUAGGUGAAGUCCCUGCGGAUGGAGCUGAGACCAGUCGAAGAUACCAGCUGGCUGCAACUGUUUAUUAAAAACACAGCACUGUGCAAACACGAAAGUGGACGUAUACGGUGUGACGCCUGCCCGGUGCCGGAAGGUUAAUUGAUGGGGUUAUCCGUAAGGAGAAGCUCUUGAUCGAAGCCCCGGUAAACGGCGGCCGUAACUAUAACGGUCCUAAGGUAGCGAAAUUCCUUGUCGGGUAAGUUCCGACCUGCACGAAUGGCGUAAUGAUGGCCAGGCUGUCUCCACCCGAGACUCAGUGAAAUUGAACUCGCUGUGAAGAUGCAGUGUACCCGCGGCAAGACGGAAAGACCCCGUGAACCUUUACUAUAGCUUGACACUGAACAUUGAGCCUUGAUGUGUAGGAUAGGUGGGAGGCUUUGAAGCGUGGACGCCAGUCUGCGUGGAGCCAACCUUGAAAUACCACCCUUUAAUGUUUGAUGUUCUAACGUUGGCCCCUUACCGGGGUUGCGGACAGUGUCUGGUGGGUAGUUUGACUGGGGCGGUCUCCUCCCAAAGCGUAACGGAGGAGCACGAAGGUUAGCUAAUCCUGGUCGGACAUCAGGAGGUUAGUGCAAUGGCAUAAGCUAGCUUGACUGCGAGCGUGACGGCGCGAGCAGGUGCGAAAGCAGGUCAUAGUGAUCCGGUGGUUCUGAAUGGAAGGGCCAUCGCUCAACGGAUAAAAGGUACUCCGGGGAUAACAGGCUGAUACCGCCCAAGAGUUCAUAUCGACGGCGGUGUUUGGCACCUCGAUGUCGGCUCAUCACAUCCUGGGGCUGAAGUAGGUCCCAAGGGUAUGGCUGUUCGCCAUUUAAAGUGGUACGCGAGCUGGGUUUAGAACGUCGUGAGACAGUUCGGUCCCUAUCUGCCGUGGGCGCUGGAGAAUUGAGGGGGGCUGCUCCUAGUACGAGAGGACCGGAGUGGACGCAUCACUGGUGUUCGGGUUGUCAUGCCAAUGGCACUGCCCGGUAGCUAAAUGCGGAAGAGAUAAGUGCUGAAAGCAUCUAAGCACGAAACUUGCCCCGAGAUGAGUUCUCCCUGAGACUUUAAGUCUCCUGAAGGAACGUUGAAGACGACGACGUUGAUAGGCCGGGUGUGUAAGCGCAGCGAUGCGUUGAGCUAACCGGUACUAAUGAACCGUGAGGCUUAACCUUACAACGCCGAAG
rnacentral:rRNA from 1 species